AGCCCUGUAGCUUUAAGGGAGAAUUUGAACUUGCUGGGUUACAUUUCUUCCCUCUGCAGGUAAUGGAGAGAAUACGAUGAAGAAAUUGAAAGAAUACAAUGAAGGCCUUUAUCUUCAUGUGAGAAUAAAAAGGCUAUUUCUCUGGUGGUGUUAAAGGAUACUCCCCUGGAAUCAUCCAAACUUUCCACUGAACUACUUUUAAAAGAAGAAAAAAAAAAAAAAAAAAGCACACAAUAGAAUAAACUGGAAAGCUCAUCUCUGUGCACAAAUGUCAGCACACUGCCGGGUAUGGGAUUUGUAUUCAGACAAAGUUUUGCUCUUUCUUUUUGUGAGGGAAAAAACGAGUCUUACUUAAAAACAAAUGGCUUAUAAAACAAUGCAAAGAGAGUGGGGAAGACCACUUUAUUGUGAAAAACUGAAAAUUCAAAGAGCAGCACCAUGUGAGAAUUCAAACAGCAGUCAGCAAUGGGAGCAGCCAUGGGACAAUUUGGAGGAUGAUCAGUGGAGGCUGGAAAAUGUUUAAUGGGGGCUCGAUACCCAGCUCAAGCAGAUUCACUGAAUUGUUCUGUGGCUCCUGUGAAGCAAACUGAGUGAUAACCAGCUUCAAACUCUCCAUCCCCAGCACUUCAUCACUGUCAUUGGCCCCAGCUGCUAGGAGAAGGAUGGAUGAAUAGCUGGCCUAGGAAAUGGGUGAUCCUUUGGCCUCUAGGAAGGUUGGAACACCAUGACUCUGUCUCUAGUCUCAGCAGGGCUCAGAGCUGUGUGGGGUGUCCAGACCAGAGGGGUUGUCUGCCUUCUUCUCUAGUAUCAUUUGUGACUAGAAGUGUCACUGGUGGCAGACCCAGGUCCCACCAUCCCUGGGGAGAGGAUGCUCUGCCCUGGCCAUGCUGGGUCCCUUCCCACCCUGUGUCUUCUGCCCAUUUGAAAUGCUCAGCACUAGGCAAAGAGGGGCUCCCCUCCACCCUGUGCAGCCCUGACAGGAAUAAAUGCUUUCAACCUUCUAAAACAAAACAAAGAAAACCUUCCUCCAAGAAAACAAACCAAAAAUAAAACUCACAAAAAAACCCAAAAGACAAAAGAAGAAACCCACAGGGGAAAAAAAAAAAAAGUAGAACUUAGACAAAAUACCUUGGGAAGACACUCCCAAGGUUUUCUCCGGAAAAGAUUGGAGGUGCACGGGUCUCUGAGUCUCCUUGUUGACUGUGUGAAAGGACAGACAUUCACAAACAUUCUUAAAGCUUUACUUCUUCUUCCUAUUCUUUUCCUGACAUUUGCUGGUUUAUGCUCUCUGGCAACCAGCAGAGUUCCACCGAUGCUGACUUGCAGAGCCCACAGAGAUACUAAGGAAAUAUUUUUCCUAGCAACAAGCGGCACACGAAAACACCGAGAGUCGCUUCUCCUGCUCAUAUUUCCCUUUGGUUUUUUUGGUCAUCUGGUGCUGAGAUAAGAACUGCAUGGUGAAACCUGCAACUGGCUUGUGUUUUCUGAGUCACUCUGGAAUGCAGGAAUGCGUGGAAGCGUUCUGUGUGCAGAGCCAUGGUGCUGAGUGGGAAUGCUGCCCACCAUGCCCAGCUGUGUCAAUCCCUGGCUGCUCAUCCCUGGCUGGUCCUGAGGGACCCUCAGGUGGCUCUCCAGUACCCUCAGGUGUCUUUCCAGCCAGGAAAGAGGAGCAUGGCAUCACCCGAAGGUGGCAUCUACAUCCAGGCUGUGUGGGGCAGGUCCUUUGGGAGCGCUGCUGCUGCCUGAGGCACCUCUUCCCAGAGAAUCCUUCGCAGCCAUCCUGAAACAGCAUCCACAGCUGGGAUGUGCAGAAGGGCUUUGUUAACACCAGCCAGUCACUGUUCCUGCCUCUGCAAGGUCAGGUGCUGAAGACAAUGUGUCCAAGACCACAACUGCCACCAGUGAGGAGCAUGGAGAGUCAGGAAGGAGUUGUAAAUUGCAUAAAUUAGUGGGUAGAGUUGAAAGCAUUCUCAAGGCAGAGCCAGCCUCUGAAUUUAGGGCCAGCCUCACACCUACAGGGUGACUAUUUUGUGAGUAACUUCAGCAGGGUUAGGAUGGAGCCCAGGAACUUCUUACUCAUCACUUCAUGGGCUACUGACAAGAACAACAGCUGCAGAACAUGGUCCUGUGUCAUCAGUGUGUUUCCUGAAUUUGUCCUCUAGUGUUUAAGAAGAAUUUACCCCCUGGAAAAGCUCAAUAGAGCAAACUGAAAAGCUUUGUCUGCAGUGGAACACUUCUGUUGUUGUUUAGAAAUAGCUUGCAUGAAGAUAAGAGCAAGUUUGUGAAACUGGUUUGAAAGCAGCAUGUAGGCAACAAAAUACACACUUCAGGCAGACAUACAUGUCCCAAGAUAAGAAACUGUCCUGCAGGCUGAAAGUGGAGAUCAAAAUCUUAUAUUUUGCCUGAAUAUAUAUCUACAUUACAGUACGAUUCUUACAAACUCUGCUUAGCACUUCCAUGGUUCCUGUGUGUGGACAUGGAGCUGGUUUGUUUGCAGUGAAACUGCAAAUAUGGCCCAAUGAUGAUGAUGAUUUUACAUGCUUCAAAAGAAUACUGAAUACUGAAGGAUAAAGUUUUAAAAAUAACCCUUCAGGGUUUUUUUUUAACUGAACUUGAAUUCUUAAGGGGUUUCAGAUUUGCCAGUUGCUCAUUACAAUUUAUCCGGGAAUUGUAUUGCAGUGAACAUCCUAACGUGUAGGGACCAGAUAGAAGACCUAAAGGCUCCAUUGUGUGAGGAAGGACAAAUUUUCUGGUUUAUCCUUCACUUUGGAGAGGAAAACAAUGUGAGGAAAUGGUGUGUUGAUCAGUAUGUUGCACACAUCGUGCUCUAUAGAAUGAGAAACACAGGGCAGUUGCCUUCUAUCCAUUCAAAUAAUGUUCUGCUGGUAAGGUACAUACCCUGCUCCAUACAGUGCUUAAUGGCUUUUUAUUAUUUAUGUUCUGAAGUGUAGCUGAAAGAUUAUAAAUAUAAAUCAGAGUAAAUUCAAAAGCAUCUAUUUAUUUCAAGACAGAAGUGGAAACAUCCCCUCCUUGCAGCUAAUAAUAGGAUCGGCAAAUUGUUAAACAAUUAAAUUGAAAAAUAUUAAUAAUAGGUGCUUUAUGCAUGUUAAACAAAACCUCAAUAAGCUUUCUGUUUUAUUGUUUAACUGUAUGUGUGAGUCAUAAGGAAAGUGUUAAUGCCCAGGAUCGGAUAUGAAUCAUGUAUUUGUGAACAAUCUUGCAAGGGCACCAAAACCCCAAACACAUUUAUUCUUCGUUGUUAAGUCAGCUCUGCACUUGGAAACUGAAAGUAUAAUCAAAGUGAGAGUUUGUUUAUUAACCAGUGGAUGCUGUGCAUCUUAUUUACACGGGUUGAUAAAAACAAGGGAAGAAGCUGGUAGUACAUGGGGCUCUGUGUCCCUGGGGUACAAAUCACAAAAGGAACCUGAGCAGCACCAGCACCAGCCAGUGAAUGCUGCAAGUGUUCUGUGACUUUAAAAGGAAAUCCCCUAUUCAUGAAGGGAAUCCAAAUGGCACCCUAUUUGUGAGGAGAGAUGCCCCAUUUCCCUUAGAAGCUGACUCGAAGCAUUUAUUGUUUUGACUGCUUUAGCAUCAAAAAGGGUGAGAGAAUUCACCUCCAGGGGAACACACAAAACCAGUGGAGUGCAUGGGAAUAACUUGGGUGUUAAUGAUAUACUAUAUUGAUUUCCAUCACAGAUAGAAAAUUGCCAUCACUGAACUACAAGCUCUUUGUGCUGGCUGGUUUUGGGCUUGCUAAGGAGACCAGGUUCUCUGUAGGAAGUAAUCUCACCUGGUAGUUAUUUCAAAUCACUGGUAGUAUGUGUGUUUCCCCUUACCUCUUCUCUGAAAAGGAAGGCUGAGUUGCCUGUUCUGGAGGAGGUUUGCAGGCAAUUGCCAGAAGCCACGCCCAGAGUUUUAGGCUACAGGAGUUUUUUGAAUUUUAGCUGUGGUUUAGGAGAAAUAUAGGUCAGCCUCUGAUGCUGCCUGACCUUGAAAAAACCAAAUUUUUCUUGUCUGUUUUCCCUGCUGUGAAAUAGAUCCUGCAAAGCAUUUGGCUAAGUAGCCAUGGGGAUUGUCCACUGCACAUCCCAUCCUUUACUAAGCAAGUUGCUGUUGAAUUUAGCUGUGCUGGGAGUGCAUGAUUAAUGCCAUUAUGGCAUAUAGCACAGAGCUGCUUUGGAACAUGUCUGAAUUGGUGUGGAUUUGCAAAGGUCUCAUCUGCUUUGAGCAACUUCAGUGGGAGUACAAAUCCAGCUGUACAAAGCAAUGCCAUGUUGAUGCUUUAUGGCAAAGUCCUUUCUGGAUGCUGAAAUGUAAAUAUUGGAAUGCACCAUUGGAAUAACCAUCUUAUUGCAGACACGUGGAUUGGUCUGUCUUGCUGUUCUGACCACAUUUAUGUUGUUGCUUGGUGUCAAAUAAUGUCUCUGGGUUACAUCCUUUGGACAUUUAUGUCUCCAGCUGGGAUCAGACAGGGAUGUGCUGUAGGUCCCGUUAGGAAGAUGCGCUCAAAGAGCACUUGCACUGCAGCCUAGUGGGAGCUGAUACCUCUUUUUCUCUCACUUUUGUAUUUGUCACUCUCUGGAGUGAGAAUAAAAAUAAAGGAACCUCCCUGCAGUGCAAAGCAGUUUGACUUACUCUUGUCUUUAUCCCUAUCCUUGUUGCUGAAGCAUUCCCAAAAAAGGGGAUGAAGCUGAUGCCCGUUGGUGUUGUAGUUUUGAUGGAGUUUAAAGAUACCUUACAACCUUUCCUGUUAUCUCUGUGUUCAGUCCAUAUCUGUAAUUUUCGGUGCAGCCUGAUGAUUCUCCUUAUUUGUAGCUUCAGCAGUGGGUCAGAUUUGUUGAAUUUUUUUCUCAUUAGAAGAUAAAGUGCAUCUCCACCCCUUGUCUACAAGAAGUCUCCCUGGCUUCUGCCUGCCCUCAGCAGAGUCAGCUCACAGAGCUCGCUGCCUUCUCAAGGUUGAAAAUUUAGGCUUUGCUGCCAUGCAUUGUCUGUGGGUUGAAUAAUUACUGUACUGAGCUGAUUACCAGAGAACAUUCAGUUUCCUUAUUGCUGAUGAGAGGGCUGGAAUAUGUGUCCAAAUCCCAUUAGUGGAAAU